rnacentral:lncRNA from 1 species
UCCCGCUUAGGCGAUGCUCCUGGCCUUGCAUGGUAGACAACAUAUAUACCUCGUAAGCAUGUGUUGAGUUAUUACUGCAGACUAUAACUGUCUUUGUUUGCUAACAUGAGAAAAUCAUUGUACCACCAUCCUUGCUGAUUGAUUCACGCGCAUGUGUGUUUUGUUGGUCUGAGACAGCAACGAAACAUCAUGUGUAGUAGAUGGCGCUGCACCUCACUUGCAGUGAGUGGUGAAGCAUGGUGCCACGAGUGUGGCUGAUGUGCUGCUGGAGAAGGACACGAUCUUCAAGUAGUCGGCAUGAACAGCCACCGGGUAUGGAAUUGUUUUCUCUUCUUUUCCCUAAAAGUGUACUCUUUUGGGUGUUGUUGGAUUUGGUUUCCCUUUGUUCUGACAAAUGUACACUCCCUUUCGCUCAUUGAUAAUGUGGUUGAUUAAGUGCAUGAUUGGUCAUUGGUUGGUCAGGGCUUAAGGCUCAUAGGGUUGUGCAAAAGGGUGUAGGUUGGUUUGGGAAGGUCUAUUUGUCCACAGAAAACUGUUGAAUGCUUGUGUGUAGGAAUUCAACAUAUCGGUAUUUCAUUUUUGACAAUCACAUAUUGACGCAAAAUUUCUUCUACCUCUUGCAGAUUUUUUUAUGACGAUGCAAGUGGUCUGAAGAUGUCUUUGUGACAAAAUAUUUGCAAAGUGAUCAGGGAGAUAUCUGAUGGAACAUGCCGAAACGAUUUUGGGCCUACAAUAUAAAAACAAUGAAAUUGCAAACUUUCUUAGGGAGAUAUGUGAUGGGAUGUGAAAAGCUACCCCCCACCCAACCAACCCCGUUACGACGCUCUAUGAGUGCUUCCUGUAAGAAGAGGAGACACUUGUGCAUGCUGCUCAAGGUGAUACACAAGAUUGAGUGAUGGUCUUGCAAGCUCAGGGCAAUCAUGGAAGUAGUGUAGUUCCUUUGUGUGUGAGAGACCCACAAAGGAUUGCUUAAUGAGCUUGAGUCUGCGUAGGUUGAACACCAAAGAGUGAUUGUGGUGCUCUAUGAAAUACUAAAAUGCAGGUGCUGCAGCGGUUGUUCAUUGAUAUUAUGUAGCUUUCCUUUGCAUACGCUUGCAACUACAUAUACAUGUGGCCACAUAUGAUAAGUUGGCAGUGAACUUUCAAAUACAGGCGACAAAUUCUUGACAGAGUGGAUUGUAACAUUGUGCAGAAGAGAUAAGAGAGAAGAGAGAGACUUGUAGAGCUACAGAGAGCUUGAGAGGGAGAGAGACUGUUGUUUGAUUUUUUAUAUUGUGGUGAGAGAGAGAGAGAGGAACUGUAGUUUGAUUGUAGUAUUGAAGGGAGCGAGUUUAACCUAAUGUAAU